rnacentral:rRNA from 1 species
UACGGAGGGUCCAAGCGUUGUUCGGAUUCAUUGGGCGUAAAGGGUGCGUAGGCGGAAUGAUAAGUCAGUGGUGAAAGCCUGCAGCUUAACUGCAGAACUGCCAUUGAUACUGUCAAUCUUGAGUACAUUUGAUGUGGGCGGAAUGUGUCAUGUAGCGGUGAAAUGCUUAGAUAUGACACAGAACACCGAUUGCGAAGGCAGCUCACAAAACUGUAACUGACGCUGAGGCACGAAAGCGUGGGUAUCAAACAGG